AACGAACGCUGGCGGCAUGCCUAACACAUGCCAGUCGAACGAGACCUUCGGGUCUAGUGGCGCACGGGUGCGUAACGCGUGGGAACCUGCCCUUAGGUUCGGAAUAACUCCCCGAAAGGGGUGCUAAUACCGGAUAAUGUCUUCGGACCAAAGAUUUAUCGCCUUUGGAUGGGCCCGCGUUGGAUUAGCUAGUUGGUAGGGUAAAAGCCUACCAAGGCGACGAUCCAUAGCUGGUCUGAGAGGAUGAUCAGCCACACUGGGACUGAGACACGGCCCAGACUCCUACGGGAGGCAGCAGUGGGGAAUAUUGGACAAUGGGCGAAAGCCUGAUCCAGCAAUGCCGCGUGAGUGAUGAAGGCCUUAGGGUUGUAAAGCCCUUUUACCCGGGAUGAUAAUGACAGUACCGGGAGAAUAGGCUCCGGCUAACUCCGUG
rnacentral:rRNA from 1 species